rnacentral:rRNA from 1 species
AACGAACGCUGGCGGCGUGCCUAACACAUGCAAGUCGAACGGAGAUAAGGGGCUUGCUCCUUAUUUUAGUGGCGCACGGGUGAGUAACGCGUAGAUAAUCUGCCUGAUGAUCUGGGAUAACAGUUCGAAAGGACUGCUAAUACCGGAUAAGCCCACGGGGUCUUUGGACUCUGCGGGAACAGGAGGGGACUUUCGGGCCUUCCGUCAUCAGAUGAGUCUGCGUACCAUUAGCUAGUUGGUAGGGUAAAGGCCUACCAAGGCGACGAUGGUUAGCUGGUCUGAGAGGAUGAUCAGCCACACUGGAACUGAGACACGGUCCAGACUCCUACGGGAGGCAGCAGUGGGGAAUUUUGCGCAAUGGGGGAAACCCUGACGCAGCAACGCCGCGUGAGUGAUGAAGGCCCUUGGGUCGUAAAGCUCUGACAGAGGGAAAGAAAUGUGGGUGGCUAAUAUCCAUACCACUUGGCGGUACCCUCAAAGGAAGCACCGGCUAACUCCGUGCCAGCAGCCGCCGUAA